GUCGGUGUGGCGUAGAAGGCAACGCGACAGUCUGCCAGUCUGUCAUGGCUGGUUUGACUCCCGUCACCGACA
rnacentral:tRNA from 1 species